rnacentral:tRNA from 1 species
UGGGCUAUAGCCAAGCGGUAGGGCAUCGCACUUUGUCUGCGACAUGCGUUGGCUCAGAUCCAGCUAGCCCAG